AGAGACUUCUUUUAAGAGAAAGUAAGAAGUUAAUUAGUUCGUGAUAAUUAAAAAAACUCGUUUCUUCCUGAAUGUUGGCUGUGGCUUGCCGAUUUCUAGAUAGUCAGUAGCUAAUUUCUAAUCUCUUAACUUCAGGUUCCUUAGAUGCGAAAUAAUUCGUUUUAUGGAAGGAAAAUAUUUUUUACUUCGUAUCGUUUCGAACCUGUCGAUUCGCCAGCCUAAUUCUUUAUUUUCCAUCGAUUAAAUCGAAGAAUAAUAAAAAAACAUUUGCCCCCGUCAAUUAAAACAGGUAUUCAUCUAAAUUCAUUCUCCCUCGACGCUUUAUCCAAUUUUAACUUCGACCCUUUUAACUCCGACAAUAUCGAAAAACGAUUAAAAUCUUUCGAUGAAAAUCUUUCCAAAGCGAAGCUCUUCUUUCGUUUUCUUUUUCCUUUUUUCUUUUUUUUUCUUUUUUCUUGUUCGAAAAUGGCCUCUCGAUACUCGGCGCAGGCCGAGAGAAUUCGUCUGCUCUGUGAGAAAAUGAAUAGAAUCGAUCGAUCCGAGAAAGGGAGUAGUAAAUUUACGUGAGUGAUCGGGAAGGAUUGAUGAGAACGGUUCUUUCCAAGAGCGAGGAACAGACGACGAGCAUCGUUUUUCACGUUGGACGAAAUCGGAGACCUGCCGUUGCUUUGCAAACGCCGUGAACCUUGGGAGUGAUCACCCCUCGAUCAAUUAUCCAUCAUUCGGCGAAGGACCAAAAUUCGUGGCACAAUCCGUGCAGUUGGCGAUCGAACGGCUACUGUAACACUUCCCAAAGCGAAAUUAUAUUUCGCGACAAGGGUGUUAAUGAACGAGCUCGGGCUUCAAGCUUAAAAUAUUCAGGCGAUCUAAGGUUCUCUAGAAGUCUGUUCUCAAAGUACAAAUCGGGAAAAUUGAGAGUCGAAAAUCGUAUACUUGGAGAUUUUGCCGAACCACGAACAAUGGAGAUUCGAGUGUCGUCUCUCGAGGCAAAGGGAGAAAGAGCGAAUAGUAGGAUGAAACAUGGUACGGUCUUGAUUCCUUGGCUACCACUGCUGAGUGCGGAGCUUCGCAGAGUUCUCUCCGCGCUCUUCACUUCUUUCUUUCCCUUCGAUUCUCUCCUUCACUAUCCGACAGCCUAUUUUUCCGCAACUUCUGAUGGCUCUCGAGGUCCCUGUCUUACCGGUAACUCAUUCCCUCGGAUCUACUCUGCUCUCUCGAUGAAGAAUCUCUGCGCCUCUAUUUUCCAGUGUCCUCGUGGCGGCGCUAUUGCGUAAAAUCGGAGAAGAGGUAGCGCGUUCCUCGCCCGGAGCAACGUGACAACGAAAAGAAGAAACACUCGAGCAUGUCCCAGCAGUGUAAAAUUCGAACGUUACGGUCGGGCCUGACUCUUUGCUCUGCCCGUACUUUUCCUUCUGGGUGAGCAAAGUUUCAGGUGUGUCCGUGACAGUUUAUCGUCGCAGCGUGUGAUUUCUUUCCUCGGCCUAUGGAUCCAUCAUAGUCGAUGCAACGAAUAACGAACAAUAACAAUCUCCAGUCGAGCGUUGACAUUGAAAAACUGACAUCGACUGGAAAAUGUCCAAACCAUUCUAAAGUCCACCGUAUCUAGCGAUAAAUCGCGUCGUAAAGUUCGUUGUGUAACGAGAAGAAUAUUUCUUGUAUUGGCUCGCGAAGCGAUAUUCGAAUAUGUAAAAUUCUUCGAUAUAUAUAUCGAAGAAUCGAUUCCUGUUUUUUGAACAAAAGCUAUACCGUUUUCAUAUGCAAAAAAGAAAAAAGAUCUGUGAUCAACGAAUUACGUUUCAUAUGUUUAUUAUAGAUAUCGCACGCGAGAGACGCGAAUCGGUUUUUACGAUUGAAAGAGUUUGAAACGGCGAAAUUUUUAAAAGCGAUACUAUAUCGGAACGAAUCGUUUUCAAAGUAUCGAUGCCGGAAAUUCGAUAAAGCGUAUGAAAGCUAACAUUUCCUUGAAAAGAGUUGAUUUACGAGGGUAAGCAGGGCAAAGUACGCGAUAAAUACCUAGGUGGAAAUCAAGCAUCCUCGACAGUACUCUUACGCCUGAAAUUUGCUUUUUACCUGGCCCUCGUGCUCUCUUACUUUGAGAAAAUAAAGGUGAGCAAAGUUUCAGGUGUGUGAGUGCGUUGAAAUCAACAAGUAAACUCGAAUGGUAAGAAUCGACGGAAUUGCGCUGCUUCGAUGGAUCUCUUGUAGACAAAAGUUGUAACCGUAUCAAAAGGAGAAAUUAUAUUCGCCCAAUUUUCAUUACGUCGGAAACACGAUUAAAGAAAUUAUUAUGUAUGUAUAUUUUAUUUGCGAAUCAUUCGCGUACAUUUUGUGAUUCAGACAAAAUAUCAAUGCGCUUAACUUCUAAUUGAAAAGAAAUAGAUAUUUUUCCUAAUCACAAAUUUAUUCUUUUGAAAAUUUGAGAGUUUCAAUGCUAUAGGAUAAACGAUUCGGAAGAAAGGUAACCUUGUAAAAUAAAAAGCUUCGUCAAUGUCGCAAACGAUACGUCUAAGAGUUAGUCUAAAAUUAGCAAUGAAAUUAGGCAGGCCUUGGAAAGACUAAUAAAUCAACUGAAGCGUUACGAUCUGGUUUCCGUCACUGUCAGGCUUCCUCCUAUAUAUGUAAAUCAAUAACCAACUGGUUUAAAGCCGAUGUGGUUGAGAGAAUCCAAUUUCACACAUUUAAACUUUUAUAUAUAAAAUUAUAUUCCAUCACCUGUAAAUAACGAGCCUUUAAUUCGUUCGUACUUGUAUGUGAAAACCAAGCAGAUAUUGUACGAUAAAAAGUAACUGAAAGAACUAUUAAAAAA
rnacentral:lncRNA from 1 species